AUACAAUACAUGCACUGGAAACAAAACGCAUCAAAGACACCUGCUUCCGCUUGGAAAUGUGACAAACCACAUCCAGAGGAAAUAAAGGUUUUUCUGCAAUCAUUUUUGUUCUAGUCCUGUACUCCUUUACCUAAAAGAAAGAAAGAAAAAAUGCAACAAGGAGCAGUCGUCAUAUGGGACACCGGAAAUCAAACAGAUCAUGUGCUGGACCAGUACAAAGCUUUCAACUGAAUGUUCAGAAAGAAUAGAUUGAGGAGCAUGCAUGAACUGGCAGAACAGAUAUCUCCAUCUCAGGGGCCACUCUAUAUGCUUCUUAUCAUUAGGAUAUAAAUCAAGCAGGUACCCGAAUAAUCAAUUGGUUUUCGUCUAAAAUGAAUAAUGAAUUGCUAUCUCAUUGUGCAAUCAAAGAGAAAUGGACCCAAUUUACAGGUGGUCCUCUUAGUCAUCAGCCACUAACUGAAACAUGUCAGCAUGGCAGCAAACUGUGAUGUCUAAGCACCCUACACUGAUAUUACAAUCCCCAGCAAGUAGAGCAGAGAGAUGGCCCCAGAGGAAUCAAAUCAAGAUCACAAUCGCAUAUAUCUUGGCUUUACACUUGCAGUUAGCAUUGCAUGUUCUGAGCUCAUGGUUCUGUCCCUUGCCAACUUGUCAUAAUAGCUGCACCUGAACUAAACUGCAUGAUGCUACUCUUCUCUUCUCCCUCGUCUAUAAAUUCAUCUGCUUAGUAGUUAGCACCACCAUCUCAUCAUCAGUUCACCCACAAGCCAAGCACUACAACACCUAGCUGAAUAUACAACCUGACACAAAAGUUUCUCUGAACUUUCAGCCAAGAAAUUCAGAAGGAGAAGCAACCAUGGUUAGUGCGAAGAGGCUUGCUCAAAUGGCAAAGAAGUGGCAGAGAAUGGCAGCCAUGGGGAGGAAGAGGCUCAAGCGGACGACAUCGACAAGAGCAGCCGACGAGUGCUGCACGACGUCAUCGGUGGCGGUAAAGGGCCACUGCGUCGUGUACACCGCCGACAGGGGUCGGUUUGAGGUGCCGUUACAGUACCUCGGCACGGCCGUCUUUAGUGAGCUCCUGAGGAUGUCUCAGGAGGAAUUUGGUUUCGCAGGCGGCGAUGAUGGCCGGAUCACGCUGCCCUGCGACGCCGCUGUCAUGGAGUACGCCAUGUGCUUGCUCGGGAAAGAUGCCUCCGCGGAAGUCGUGAAGGCCUUCCUGAGCUCCGUCGCGACGCCCUGCUGGUUUGACGGCGGUGUGGUGGCGCCAUGCGUAGGGUUUAACCAGCAUGUAGCCGUUUGCUAGCUUCAGAAGAAUGGCAGCUGCUACUGCUAGGAUCCUUGUUGUAGCCACCGUUUUGGUUCGACGCAAAGUGUAAAUAUGAAGUACUAGUUGGUUAGAAAUGGAACAGUUUUUUAACCGUUGAGGUAUAAAUGAAGGAACCUUCUUUCUCUGUCAGCUUAGCCUUUAUUGGGUGAAUUGGUUCAACCUCAAGGAAAACCACAUGAUCUGGCACCUUCCGCUACAUCGACACGAAGUACCAUAAACGGGGAUGCUCGGCAUGUCAUGCUGCUUCUCAUCACGACCAAGCCACCAAUCACCAAUGGCGCCGUCUUGUCUCCGGAUAGGACUUGCUUAGAGAUUUUUUUUUCCUUAUUUUUAUGUAAUAAAGUGGCACAUUUGGUACUUUGUGACUGUGUGAGUCCCGUGCGCACAAGUGGGGGGUUGAUGCCCUGUUGGUUAACUCGGUUGUAUCGCUUGAUAUAUAAUGUUGAGAUCAAUCUAUAAUCUUCUAUUUUCGAAAAAAUAAAUGAAAUGAGCAGCUCUAUUGGACCAAAUUUCUCGGUUAGAACCUGAGAUGCAGCGUAUUUUGUUUGUGAACAUAAGGCUAACAAUUUUUAACGAUAUGCAAAUUGUUCUAACCGUUCUUGCAAAUUCAAGCCUUUUUUUUCAUAUGGUCAGAAGACCGUAUUCUACUACUGUCAUGAAGAUAACGGAACAAAGUACUGAACCCAAGUUUCAACCCCGCACGGAAGUUUUUCACAUACCUGCCGCAUAUCGCUAACAAGAACACAAGCCAACUACCAAAAUAUUGUACUUCCUCCGUCCAACAAAGAUGUCUCAAUUUUGACUAAAUUUGAAUGCAUCUAUACACUAAGUCAUGUCUAGAUACAUUCAAAUUUUGACAAACUUGAGACAUUUUUUGUUGGACGGAAGCAGUACAUGUAAUGGAACUGGAGAUGCCCGAUUAACAUAUGGCCCACAUGCUGAUUCAGAGGGGAACUUGCCAGUAUGUCAAUGCAUGCACCCUUGGAUGUGAAACCAAUGAAGUAAGCAAAGCACUGGAACCUAGCAACUACUAGAUCAGGCAAUUAGCCCCAUCAAAAACAUGGUCAGAGGUUUCUCAAAAAAAAAAAAACAUGGUCAGAGAAAGUUUAAGCAUUGCAUUUGCACCUGCUCAUGGAUUUGCCCCUUCCUUCCCAGCUUGCCGCACUGACAAGUGCAUGCACUUCACCCAGCCUUUCCCCCAUCUUGCUUUUCCAUCGCCUAUAAAUUAAGGCACUGAAACAGAUCAAUUGCACUAUGACCAUCACUACCAAAAAACCAAUCAUCACUUUCUAAUUAUGCCAAGCAGAUUUGUAUGUUUCCAAACUGAAAGAACUCAAUGCGAGAUUAAAGGACAUGCAUGUACCAAAAUAUGAUCUCUAAAUAUAUGCAGGUUCAGAACUAAAAGUGCUGCGGAAAGCUGGACAACUCAAUGCUGAACAUGUAUGUCCAGAAGGAAUUAAUACAUGUGGCCUAGCAUUCUUAGAGAGUUUUCCAUUCUUGAGUUAUUCUUAUGUUUGCAUAAAUAGAUAUUUCUAAGAAACCAUACUAUAACUGGAAACAUCGCAUUUCAAAUAUAAUACAUGCAUGUAUUGAAACCAAACAGUCAACAGAAAGCCCAUCAGAGACAUCUGUUUCAGCUUGGCAACGUGAUAAAACCACUUUCAGAUGAAACAAACGUCGCUUUGCAAUCACUUUGGUGCUUACUCCUGUACCCAAAAUAAAUAAAAUGCAAGGAGCAAGCCCAUGUGAUAUGCCGGAAAUCAAGCAGGUCUAGUUUCAUCUGAAAGUGUACAGAGAAUAGAUAUAUUAGGGGCAUGAACAAUGCAUAUCACAAUGUGAGGAAUCCAUCAGGAGAAGCAAAUAGGUAGCGUAACUGAUCAGUGCUCACCGAAAUUGUUCAGUCCCUGAACCUGGAUGCCAUCGCUGUCUCCUUGCAAUUGCCGAUAGCCAUGAUCUCGGCACGCCUCUUGUUCUCAACGCGUUCAGUAUGGCAGCCACACAUGAUAAGAA
rnacentral:lncRNA from 1 species